rnacentral:rRNA from 1 species
UACGUAGGGGGCGAGCGUUGUCCGGAUUCAUUGGGCGUAAAGAGCUCGUAGGCGGCUUGGCAAGUCGGGUGUGAAAACUCCAGGCUCAACCUGGAGAUGCCACCCGAUACUGCUAUGGCUUGAGUUCGGUAGGGGACCACCGGAAUUCCUGGUGUAGCGGGUGAAAUGCGCAGAUAUCAGGAGGAACAGCCGGUGGCGAAGGCGGCGAUCUGGGAAGAUACUGACGCUGAGGUGCGAAAGCGUGGGGAGCAAACGG